CGGAGGGUGCAAGCGUUAUCCGGAUUCACUGGGUUUAAAGGGUGUGUAGGCGGGUAUUUAAGUCAGUGGUGAAAUCUCCAGGCUCAACCUGGAAACUGCCAUUGAUACUAUUUAUCUUGAAUAUCGUUGAGGUUGGCGGAAUAUAUCAUGUAGCGGUGAAAUGCAUAGAUAUGAUAUAGAACACCGAUUGCGAAGGCAGCUAACUAAGCGAUUAUUGACGCUGAGGCACGAAAGCGUGGGGAUCAAACAGGAUUAGAUACCCUGGUAGUCCACGCCCUAAACUAUGAUUACUCGACAUACGCGAUACACAGUGUGUGUCUGAGCGAAAGCAUUAAGUAAUCCACCUGGGAAGUACGUCCGCAAGGAUG
rnacentral:rRNA from 1 species